CCUACGGGUGGCAGCAGUGGGGAAUAUUGCACAAUGGGGGAAACCCUGAUGCAGCGACGCCGCGUGAGUGAAGAAGUAAUUCGUUAUUUAAAGCUUCAUCAGCAGGGAAGAAAAUUACGGUACCCGAGUAAGAAGCCCCGGCCAACUACGUGCCAGCAGCCGCGGGAAUACGUCGGGGGCAAGCGUUAUCCGGAUUUACUGGGGGUAAAGGGGGCGUAGUGGGCAGUGCAAGUCUGGAGUGAAAGGCCGGGGGUCAACCCCCGGACAGCCCUGGAAACUGUACGGCUGGAGUGCAGGAGAGGUAAGUGGAAUGCCUAGUGUAGCGGUGAAAUGCGUAGAUAUUGGGAGGAACACCAGUGGCGAAGGCAGCUUACUGGAGUGUAACUGACGUUGAGGCUCGAAAGCGUGGGGAGCGAACAGGAUUAGAUACCCGGGUAGUC
rnacentral:rRNA from 1 species